rnacentral:misc_RNA from 1 species
AUGUAUAUCAACAGCAAAAACAUCAGAGACUCGAGAGUGUAAAGCUAGUGCCAGUGGCCUACGGGACUGAGUCCACAACUUGUGAGAAACUCUAUGAGCCUGGCAAGCCAAGAACCCUUUGUAAUUGAGAAGACAAUGCGAGAAUGAUAUGCAAGCAGGAUCACGGACGCGGUAGGCGCGAAGAUCAGCGACGGCAGCGGCGAUGAGAGAAGGGUCGGAGGAGAAAGUGUCGAGGAAGAGAUCGUAAAGGAGGG